CCAAUAGCGUAUAUUAAAGUUGUUGCAGUUAAAAAGCUCGUAGUUGAAUUUCGGGGUUAGUAGGUUGGUCGUGCCUCAGGUAUGUACUGAUCUCACUGAUUUCUCCUUCCUGAUGAACCAUAAUGCCAUUAAUUUGGUGUUGCGGGAAAACUGGACUGUUACUUUGAAAAAAUUAGAGUGUUUAAAGCAGGCUAACGCUUGAAUACAUUAGCAUGUAAUAAUGAAAUAGGACGUUCGAUCCUAUUUUGUUGGUUUCUAGGAUUGACAUAAUGAUUAAUAGGGAUAGUUGGGGGCAUUAGUAUUCAAUUGUCAGAGGUGAAAUUCUUGGAUUUAUUGAAGACUAACUACUGCGAAAGCAUUUGCCAAGGAUGUUUUCAUUAAUCAAGAACGAAAGUUAGGGGAUCGAAGACGAUCAGAUACCGUCGUAGUUUUAACCAUAAACUAUGCCGACUAGGGAUCGGAUGAUGUUAAUUUUUUAAUGACUCAUUCGGUGCCUUACG
rnacentral:rRNA from 1 species